AGUCGAGGGGCAUCAGUUUGGUUUGCUUGCAACCAAAGCUGGCGACCGGCGCACGGGUGAGUAACACGUAUCCAACCUGCCUCAUACUCGGGGAUAGCCUUUCGAAAGAAAGAUUAAUAUCCGAUAGCAUAUAUUUCCCGCAUGGGUUUUAUAUUAAAGAAAUUCGGUAUGAGAUGGGGAUGCGUUCCAUUAGUUUGUUGGCGGGGUAACGGCCCACCAAGACUACGAUGGAUAGGGGUUCUGAGAGGAAGGUCCCCCACAUUGGAACUGAGACACGGUCCAAACUCCUACGGGAGGCAGCAGUGAGGAAUAUUGGUCAAUGGACGCGAGUCUGAACCAGCCAAGUAGCGUGAAGGAUGACUGCCCUAUGGGUUGUAAACUUCUUUUAUAUGGGAAUAAAGUGGUCCACGUGUGGAUUUUUGUAUGUACCAUAUGAAUAAGGAUCGGCUAACUCCGUGCCAGCAGCCGCGGUAAUACGGAGGAUCCGAGCGUUAUCCGGAUUUAUUGGGUUUAAAGGGAGCGUAGGCGGAUUGUUAAGUCAGUUGUGAAAGUUUGCGGCUCAACCGUAAAAUUGCAGUUGAUACUGGCAGUCUUGAGUGCAGUAGAGGUGGGCGGAAUUCGUGGUGUAGCGGUGAAAUGCUUAGAUAUCACGAAGAACUCCGAUUGCGAAGGCAGCUCACUGGAGUGUAACUGACGCUGAUGCUCGAAAGUGUGGGUAUCAAACAGGAUUAGAUACCCUGGUAGUCCACACAGUAAACGAUGAAUACUCGCUGUUUGCGAUAUACAGUAAG
rnacentral:rRNA from 1 species